rnacentral:rRNA from 1 species
CCUACGGGGGACAGCAGUGAGGAAUAUUGGUCAAUGGCCGGAAGGCUGAACCAGCCAAGCCGCGUGAGGGAGGAAGGCGCAGAGCGUCGCAGACCUCUUUUGCCGGGGGACAAAAGGCCGGACUCGUCCGGUCCUGAGGGUACCCGGAGAAAAAGCAUCGGCUAACUCCGUGCCAGCAGCCGCGGUAAUACGGAGGAUGCGAGCGUUAUCCGGAUUCAUUGGGUUUAAAGGGUGCGCAGGGGGGCCUUUAAGCCGGUGGUGAAAUCGCGGGGCUCAACCCCGCCGGGCCGUCGGAACUGGGGGCGUUGAGUGCGGCGGAGGCAUGCGGAAUGCGCGGUGUAGCGGGGAAAUGCAUGAAUAUCG